AUUGAACGCUGGCGGCAGGCUUAACACAUGCAAGUCGAGCGGGGGAAGGUAGCUUGCUACCGGACCUAGCGGCGGACGGGUGAGUAAUGCUUAGGAAUCUGCCUAUUAGUGGGGGACAACAUCUCGAAAGGGAUGCUAAUACCGCAUACGUCCUACGGGAGAAAGCAGGGGAUCUUCGGACCUUGCGCUAAUAGAUGAGCCUAAGUCGGAUUAGCUAGUUGGUGGGGUAAAGGCCUACCAAGGCGACGAUCUGUAGCGGGUCUGAGGGGAUGAUCCACCACACUGGGACGGAGACACGGCCCAGACUGCUACGGGAGGCAGCAGUGGGGAAUAUUGGACAAUGGGGGGAACCCUGAUCCAGCCAUGCCGCGUGUGUGAAGAAGGCCUUAUGGUUGUAAAGCACUUUAAGCGAGGAGGAGGCUACUUUAGUUAAUACCUAGAGAUAGUGGACGUUACUCGCAGAAUAAGCACCGGCUAACUCUGUGCCAGCCGCCGCCGUAA
rnacentral:rRNA from 1 species